GCCACAAUACGCAAGCUACGUCUGAAACGGUCUCUGAUCAUCUUCAAAACAAGUCGGCGGGAUUUAUCUUUAACUUGAUGCUCCCGGUUCUCGCUCACGGUGCAGGUGAAAUCAGUUGCAAAUUUUCACUCUACUGGAGUCCGGAGGAUCCAGGAAAAUGGGGUUUACGUUUCAAAGUCAGCAAGGAGCGGCGUUUCCCCGCGGCUCGGUGGAGCCCGGCGCUCGCUAGCUCCCUAGCUGGAGUGGGCACCUGGUAGCAAGAGGAGGCGCCGGGUGAGCCGGCCUCGGGCCAAAUGCUUAUCCCGGCUCCGCACGGCAGGCUCAGCUAACGCGGGUGGUGCACAAGGCUCUCCGGGGCUCCCGCACGCACGCGGCCUCCUCGAAAGAAAACCCAGCGCUGUCUAGGUCCUCUAGCGAGUGUCGCCCCAGGAGUGUCACGCUCAGCGGACUUUAGCUUGGGUGUUGCUCCCCAAAAGGAAAAGGCGCCCUCUCCAUUCAAGCCCACCCUACGGAGGGAGACCUCUAUCACCCCGCCCCUCUCGCAGGAACUCUCGGACACAGCUCUGCGCGCCCACCCAUGAUCUCUCUCGCCUUGGAGACAAGUGGAGAGGGCAGGGGAGAGAGAUUGGAGCGAAGAGAGUAUAGUAGGCCAUGUGCCUGCUGGAGGAGGCAAAGGAAGAGACAUCCAAAGAUAAGACACAAAAGAAUGAGGCUGCAUAUCAAAAAGAAAACGGAAGACACAUAACCUGGCUCAAAAUCCGGAUACAUAUCUGUGUGGAUCAUCAAUAGAACAAAAUUGCUAAAUGCUGAGUGGGGUUAAAUCCAUGUACUUUCCAAAUCCUGGCUCUAGAAGCAGGCAGUGGUAUAUGGAAGUCUAAAUAAUGCACUGUCAUAGGGAAUAAAUGGCUCUAUGACAAAUGAGACAUCAGAGCCAGUUGCACACCUUAAAGAAGAGAUUGGCAGGGAAUCCCCCAACUUGAGGGGAUUGCCUGAAAAAAAUAGCCAGUCUAAGACUGCUAUUUAGGGAAGCAACAAAGACACAGCUUCUUCACUAGGAACCGAACCUAAUGGCACUCUGACUCAAGGGCUGACCAUAUUUCUCAAUAAUACUAUAACUCAGAUGUCCCGAAUGACUUUUAUAAGACCUAGAUUUCCUUGGGUUUAGGUGGAGGUAGCCACAAAUCUGCAAUUCAAAGAGUGGUAAUCCCAGAAGGAGAGAGAUGAUAGUGGGGAGGGGAGAGAAAAAUAAUUCAUUCCCUUAAAAUGAGCAUACUAACCAGUGUCCUAACACACUUGCAGAUAACAUAAGGUUAAAAAAUACAGACAAAUUAAAACAAUAUUUGAACAUCAGUUCACACUUUAUAGAAAAAAAGCAUC